GCAACCCUCAUUGUUAGUUACUACCAUUCAGUUGAGGACUCUAAUGAGACUGCCAACGACAAGUUGGAGGAAGUGGGGAUGACGUCAAAUCAUCAUGCCCUUUAUGACCUGGGCUACAAACGUACUACAAUGGCCAAUACAAAGAGAUGCGAAGCGGUGACGUGGAGCGAACCUCAGAAAGUUGGUCUCAGUUCAGAUUGAAGUCUGUAACUCGACUUCAUGAAGGCGGAAUCGCUAGUAAUCGCGGGUCAGCAGACCGCGGUGAAUACGUUCCCGGGUUUU
rnacentral:rRNA from 1 species